rnacentral:rRNA from 1 species
CGAGUGGCGGACGGGUGAGUAAUGUCUGGGAAACUGCCUGAUGGAGGGGGAGUAACUACUGGAAACGGUAGCUAAUACCGCAUAACGUCGCAAGACCAAAGAGGGGGACCUUCGGGCCUCUUGCCAUCGGAUGUGCCCAGAUGGGAUUAGCUAGUAGGUGGGGUAACGGCUCACCUAGGCGACGAUCCCUAGCUGGUCUGAGAGGAUGACCAGCCACACUGGAACUGAGACACGGCCAGACUCCUACGGGAGGCAGCAUG